rnacentral:rRNA from 1 species
CAAGGGCGCAGCCGAUGCAGCCAUGCCGCGUGUGUGAAGAAGGCCUUCGGGUUGUAAAGCACUUUCAGUCGUUGAGGAAGGGUGUGUAUUUAAUAGAUGCGCACUUUGACGUUAGCGACAGAAGAAGCACCGGCUAACUCCGUGCCAGCAGCCGCGGUAAUACGGAGGGUGCGAGCGUUAAUCGGAAUUACUGGGCGUAAAGCGCAUGCAGGUGGUUCGUUAAGUCAGAUGUGAAAGCCCGGGGCUCAACCUCGGAAUAGCAUUUGAAACUGGCGAACUAGAGUACUGUAGAGGGGGGUAGAAUUUCAGGUGUAGCGGUGAAAUGCGUAGAGAUCUGAAGGAAUACCAGUGGCGAAGGCGGCCCCCUGGACAGAUACUGACACUCAGAUGCGAAAGCGUGGGGAGCAAACAGGAUUAGAUACCCUGGUAGUCCACGCCGUAAACGAUGUCUACUUGGAGGUUGUGGCCUUGAGCCGUGGCUUUCGGAGCUAACGCGUUAAGUAGACCGCCUGGGGAGUACGGUCGCAAGAUUAAAACUCAAAUGAAUUGACGGGGGCCCGCACAAGCGGUGGAGCAUGUGGUUUAAUUCGAUGCAACGCGAAGAACCUUACCUACUCUUGACAUCUACAGAAGCCAGCGGAGACGCAGGUGUGCCUUCGGGAACUGUAAGACAGGUGCUGCAUGGCUGUCGUCAGCUCGUGUUGUGAAAUGUUGGGUUAAGUCCCGCACGAGCGCACCCUUAUCCUUGUUUGCCAGCUAGUAUGCGGGAACUCCAGAGACUGCCGGGAU